AGGGGAAUACCUGGGUCGAAUGGUGGUUUCAUUCCAAGCUUUCCAAGGAAUCUCCAUACUGCUUUCCAGAUUGGCUGCACCAAUUUGCAGUCCCACCAGCAAU
rnacentral:pre_miRNA from 1 species